rnacentral:sRNA from 1 species
GCUGGGUGCUGUGGCGCACACCUGUAAUCCCAGCGCUUGGGGAGCUGAGGCAGGAGGAUCUCGAGUUCAAAUCCAGCCUCAG